rnacentral:lncRNA from 1 species
AGCCUGACAGAGCUGGGUCUCGGGUGUAAAAGCUCUCGAUUCCUGCAGAAAAGCCGGUUCCUGUGGGUCUGGUUUCUGAGGGUCAAGGCAGAGGUCGCCAGAGUUUUGGGGAGAAGAAAGUUAACAACAGCAUCCUUCCUCUUUGCAGAUGGCCGAGGCACAGGUCUCUAGCUUUUUUUCCGCUGGGGCCCUUUUGCUGGUCAUUGAGAGAAUAGGCUUCCUAGACCCUGUAUCCUUUCUUACUAAUAGGCAUUGGCAUGAUUCCUCACAGACACAGAGAUUUCCUCUGCUGAGUAAGCCAGAGGUCCCUGAACUUGGGAAAGCAUCAUCCAGACCUUGGGAGUAAAUGUGUGUACAGAGCGCAGUCCCUUCUCCCUCCGUUUUUCUUUUUUUCUUUUUGGGAAUACUUCCUUCGGUGAAACUGAACUUUUUUUUGUUUGUUUGUUUUCAAACACAAGGUGAGAGUGGAAUGGGAUGUGGGGGGAUUUGAGGUGGUUGCCUGGAGUGUGUGAAGGCUAAAAUGUCGGGAGCUUGACUAGCUGCUAUUCAGGAAAACUCUUUUUCUAUAUCAGGGCUGUUGCUUUUCUUGAGAGGCCGUCAGAAUCUUGCUGGGGGAGUGUGGCGCAGCCUUCCUUCUUAGUUCUGCUUCAGGCAUGCGAGUCUUUCGAGCAAUGGCUAUCUGUGCGCUCAGCUAGGUCUUAGCUGCGUCCACCUAGAAACCGUGUGAUGCUCAAGGGUAUCUCGAGGGAAAUGCUGAGACUUCCCUGCGUGGGGAAACAGGGCUUGAGGGUGAGGAUGCGUAAGCAGUCUGGAUUUCAGCGUUCUGUGGAAUUCGAGAAAAGAGCAGAGCAGAGUUUGUCUCUCAGGGAGUCGGUUUCUCUGGAGCUGCCUUGUUCUUUGAACCCUUGUCUACUACUUGAGCUAAACAAACCCCAAAGAAAGCCAGAAUCCCCGCGUCUUGUGCUCGGAGUCUAAAUAGCAGAUCACAGCUGAAAUGAUUCCCCACUGUGGAACAAGGUGAGUGACUGUCUCUCUUGGGAAGGGGAGCUUUUGUUUGCUCCGUUUGCCAACUAGUGAGAUGCUGGACAGAAAACCUUUAGAUGGAGUAACCCCAGGAGCUGCAAAAGCUGCCUUUUCAUAUGAUAACAAUGUAGCCUGUGAACCUAAAGGGAUGAGCUGUGUUCUGUGGGAGCUUGCCUAUUCUAGUCCGGUGGUGUUUUGCUCUUCCUACACAAACAGUGGCAGUAAGCAACAGGUAGUGAGUGAACCAAUGUUCUGGAGACAUACUUAUCAUCUUGAGAUAUACAAAAGCACACCACUCUAGUACAUAGCAUUGAUUGUGUGUGUGUGUGUGUGUGUGUGUGUGUGUGUGUGUACACACCCGUAAGCAAUUGAUGAGUUUCUCUUAAAGAUUCAGUGUUAAUAGUAUUAGACAUAGUUUCCUAAAAAUUGAUAUUUUAGCAGGAAAAUAAAAAACCACGAGGUUGUUUAUUAUCAAUUUGUUUGGAUUCAUUAAAAAUGAGAAAUAAUGUAAAUAAACGCACCAAUAUACUUUUGUAGUUACCAGAAAUACAUAUAUUGACUGUUUUUUUUUUUUUUUCAACUUUGGAAACUGUGUAGACAAAGGUGGCUUUUCAAAGCUCUCUGACGAAGUCCAGAGAAACUGAUUUACGUUAAAUUGGUGUACAGAAAUCACACACCCCGGCUUUAAACUUUCCUGCCAAAUUCCUAGCUUCAUAUUACUUCUACUGGCAGAGAAAAUAAAAUUUAUAAUGGAAAGUUUGACAGAAACAGAAAUGAGUGAUAACAAACUUUUUCACCUCUUGGUCCAACCUUAAUCCCGGGAGAGCCAGCUCGGACUCCUAAUGGGUAAAGUCAUAACCAACAGAAAGGGGGGUGGGGACAGUCACUCACUCCUGGUGUCCUUUUCUUCCCCGUGUUGAAUAAGAUGCUUAACGAUGUGCAGACUUUAAAAUUUUGUCAAAUUCUACUAGUUUUGUAUACAAGGUGAGGCCAACAGACUCUGUAACCUUGAGUGUGGGUGCAUUCGUUCUGAAUAGAAAUUGGGCAAUAGUGCCUAGGAGAGGGGUGUGUGUGUGUGUGUGUGUGUGUGUGUGUGUGUGAGAGAGAGAGAGAGAGAGAGAGAGAGAGAAAGUCCAGUCAGUUUAGGAUUGUAGGAGUCCUCCUGAGCUGCUUACAGAUCCCCCAGUGACUCACUGUGCAGCCAAGUUUGACCCUGUCAGAGAACGUUCUGCAGAAAACUGAUACAUUUUCAAAAUGUGGCACUCCUCCUGACCUUGAUGAAGCUUUUCAACUUCUUGCCUUAAUUAGAUUGUUCAAGGCAUGGAUCUAUAUUACAUACGACCUCCGUUUCAAAGGCCGUGAAAAUUAGUGAUAUGUUGAAAUCUGUUGGCAUCCCUGUGCUGGGCAGGCAAACAUAGAGCUCCUUCCCUGUCGUGAAGUAGUUGAGGCCCACGGUACACUCAGCCAUGCUGGUUUCAUUUGAACAGCUACUGACACAGGACUGCCCCGGUAGUUUGAGAUGUGUAGAUAUUAAAACUGAUGGAAUGGACUAAAAUUUAUAUUUAGUUAACCUAGGAGACUCAAAUUUCAGAAGCUUGAAAGCUGUGGAGGAAACCAGUCAUUUCUUUGUGUAACUUAGUUUGUAAUUCCUUAAAACUGAACAUGACUCUGAAAUGAAUUAUUUAAGAAUGGAGUUUUUUUUUCCUAAUUAUAUGAUUGGGGGUGAUGUAAAAACAUUACAACCGAUGUGAUCGUAAAAGUUGGAUUUUUUAAAAAAUUUUUUCCCUCUUCCUAAACUG